rnacentral:rRNA from 1 species
UCAUAAGCGGAGGAAAAGAAACCAACAGGAAUUGCCCCAGUAACGGCGAGUGAAGCGGCAAGAGCUCAAAUUUGAAAUCUGGCCCCCCGUGCGGGGGCCCGAGUUGUAGUUUGCAGAGGGCGCCUCGGCGGCCCCGCGCGCGGCAAGUCCCCUGGAACGGGGCGUCAGAGAGGGUGAGAGCCCCGUGAGACGAGCGCGCGGCAAGCCAUGUGAGGCCCCUUCGACGAGUCGAGUUGUUUGGGAAUGCAGCUCCAAACGGGAGGUAAAUUUCUUCCAAGGCUAAAUACCGGCUGGAGACCGAUAGCGCACAAGUAGAGUGAUCGAAAGAUGAAAAGCACUUUGAAAAGAGAGUCAAACAGCGCGUGAAAUUGUUGAAAGGGAAGCGCUUGCUGCCAGACUCGGCCGCCGGGGCUCGCGCGGGGAUGCGUCCCCGCCUGCUCCCCGGCGGCCGGGCCAGCGUCGGUUGGGGCGGCCGGACAAGGGCCGCGGGAAUGUGGCUCCCCCCGGGGAGCGUUAUAGCCCGCGGCGCGAUGCGGCCAGCCCCGACCGAGGACCGCGCGCACGCCCGGACGCUGGCGUAAUGGCCGCAAGCGGCCCGUCUUGAAACACGGACCAAGGAGUCUAACAGCCGUGCGAGUGUUUGGGUGUCAAACCCGGGCGCGCAAUGAAAGUGAACGGAGGUGGGAGCCCCCCCCGCGGGGCGCACCAUCGACCGAUCCUGAUCUCCUGGGAUGGAUUCGAGUAGGAGCACGGCUGUUGGGACCCGAAAGAUGGUGAACUAUGCCUAAACAGGGCGAAGCCAGAGGAAACUCUGGUGGAGGCUCGCAGCGGUUCUGACGUGCAAAUCGAUCGUCGAAUUUGGGCAUAGGGGCGAAAGACUAAUCGAACCAUCUAGUAGCUGGUUCCUGCGAAAUU